AGAACGAACGCUGGCGGCAUGCCUAACACAUGCAAGUCGAACGUGAUCCAGGCUUCGGCCUGGUGAAAGUGGCAGACGGGUGAGUAACGCGUGGGAACCUGCCCUGUGGUAGGGAAUAACCGUGGGAAACUGCGGCUAAUACCCUAUGAGUCCUUCGGGAGAAAGAUUUAUCGCCAUAGGAGGGGCCCGCGUCGGAUUAGGUAGUUGGUGGGGUAACGGCCUACCAAGCCUUCGAUCCGUAGCUGGUCUGAGAGGAUGAUCAGCCACACUGGGACUGAGACACGGCCCAGACUCCUACGGGAGGCAGCAGUGGGGAAUCUUGCACAAUGGGCGAAAGCCUGAUGCAGCAACGCCGCGUGAGGGACGAAGGCUUUCUGAGUUGUAAACCUCUUUCAGCAGGGACGAUUGUGACGGUACCUGCAGAAGAGCCCCGGCAACUACGUGCCAGCAGCCGC
rnacentral:rRNA from 1 species